rnacentral:rRNA from 1 species
CCUACGGGGGGCAGCAGUGAGGAAUAUUGGUCAAUGGUCGGGAGACUGAACCAGCCAAGCCGCGUGAGGGAUGAAGGUACAGAGUAUCGUAAACCUCUUUUGUCAGGGAACAAAGGCGGGGACGUGUCCCCGGAUGAGUGUACCUGAAGAAAAAGCAUCGGCUAACUCCGUGCCAGCAGCCGCGGUAAUACGGAGGAUGCGAGCGUUAUCCGGAUUUAUUGGGUUUAAGGGGUGCGCAGGCGGUCUGUUAAGUCCACGGGCAAAGCCCGGGGCUCAACCCCGGCCCGCCGUUGAAACUGGCAGUCUCGAGUUGGAGAGAAGUAUGCGGAAUGCGCGGUGUAGCGGUGAAAUGCAUAGAUAUCGCGCAGAACUCCGAUUGCGAAGGCAGCAUGCCGGCUCCACACUGACGCUGAGGCACGAAAGCGUGGGUAUCGAACAGGAUUAGAUACCCCAGUAGUC